rnacentral:rRNA from 1 species
AUUGAACGCUGGCGGCAGGCCUAACACAUGCAAGUCGAGCGGAUGAAGGGAGCUUGCUCCUGGAUUCAGCGGCGGACGGGUGAGCAAUGCCUAGGAAUCUGCCUGGUAGUGGGGGAUAACGUCCGGAAACGGGCGCUAAUACCGCAUACGUCCUGAGGGAGAAAGUGGGGGAUCUUCGGACCUCACGCUAUCAGAUGAGCCUAGGUCGGAUCAGCUAGUUGGUGGGGUAAAGGCCUACCAAGGCGACGAUCCGUAACUGGUCUGAGAGGAUGAUCAGUCACACUGGAACUGAGACACGGUCCAGACUCCUACGGGAGGCAGCAGUGGGGAAUAUUGGACAAUGGGCGAAAGCCUGAUCCAGCCAUGCCGCGUGUGUGAAGAAGGUCUUCGGAUUGUAAAGCACUUUAAGUUGGGAGGAAGGGCAGUAAGUUAAUACCUUGCUGUUUUGACGUUACCAACAGAAUAAGCACCGGCUAACUUCGUG